rnacentral:rRNA from 1 species
GAGUUUGAUCCUGGCUCAGGACGAACGCUGGCGGCGUGCUUAACACAUGCAAGUCGAACGGUGACCCGGAGCUUGCUCCGGUGAUCAGUGGCGAACGGGUGAGUAACACGUGGGCAACCUGCCUCUAGCUCUGGGAUAAGCCCGGGAAACCGGGUCUAAUACUGGAUAUGAAAUCGGAAGGCAUCUUCUGAUUUGUAAAGUUUUUCGGCUAGAGAUGGGCCCGCGGCCUAUCAGCUUGUUGGUGAGGUAACGGCCCACCAAGGCGACGACGGGUAGCCGGCCUGAGAGGGCGACCGGCCACACUGGGACUGAGACACGGCCCAGACUCCUACGGGAGGCAGCAGUGGGGAAUAUUGCACAAUGGGCGAAAGCCUGAUGCAGCGACGCCGCGUGAGGGAC